ACGCCGCUACGCAUCAUCUUCAGUAAAUCCAAAAAUCUUCUUCAGCAAAUCGACAAUGGUGAUUCUCAUGAACCUUCUCACCACUGAUCCCUUAGAUUCGGGUCACAUAUAUAAUACGCUUCUUCUCUUGCACCUUGGAAACCCUAAUUUUGAUAUCCAUUGUUUUGGCCAUUUCACUCUGUUUCGCAAAGAAGAGAUCAAUCAUUCAUCAAAGCAAACCCUAAUCGCACCAACAAUCACCACGCUUCUUUUCUAAAAAACCCUAAAUAUCAAAUUCAUGUUCCUUCUGGUUGAACCAUCUAUGAAUGCAUCAAGUAUCAUUUUCUGAUUUGUAGGUUUAAGCUUUCUCCUUUGAAGUUUUUUGGCGUUGUUAGUCUUUUCAAUUUGUCUGGUACGAGGACGGUAAUGGUGCUCGCCGCUUCAGAAAUGGCCAUCACUGACCACCAUCUGAUUCGUCCACCAAAUCGCCGCUUUGUUCUAUUCAUGGGUUAGUAUAUAUCGAUUCAUACAAUUUUUAUAAUUUAAUCUUCCAAAUUCAUGGAUAUUUUUGAUCAAUUUAUGCCAUAACAACAUCUAUGAAAUUAAAAAAAAAGAGAAAAGAAAAAAUU